GCCGAGCACGAAUUGCGGACUUAUAUUAGGUCACAUGAUCAAUAGUACAUGUUUUAGUGCGAGAGUAAUUUCGUGCCAGGACCUUGGGUGCUGUGUUCAUUUUGAUUGUUGAAGUUUUGUGCUUUUCCUACCCGUUUAUCGCAUAGAAAUAUUUUUUACCGUAGGUGUACGAAGAUCAAGUCAAAACAACACGCAAUGUCAAAUGGUGAAAAUGUUUAAAUUUAAAGGAAGGUUUACUCAAUCAUGGAAUGACUUGUAUUGGUGCGGCUACGCGUAAAAGAGUUCUCUGCAUAUCGUCCCCAACACCU